rnacentral:rRNA from 1 species
GACGAACGCUGGCGGCGUGCUUAACACAUGCAAGUCGAACGGAAAGGCCCUGCUUUUGUGGGGUGCUCGAGUGGCGAACGGGUGAGUAACACGUGAGUAACCUGCCCUUGACUUUGGGAUAACUUCAGGAAACUGGGGCUAAUACCGGAUAGGAGCUCCUGCUGCAUGGUGGGGGUUGGAAAGUUUCGGCGGUUGGGGAUGGACUCGCGGCUUAUCAGCUUGUUGGUGGGGUAGUGGCUUACCAAGGCUUUGACGGGUAGCCGGCCUGAGAGGGUGACCGGCCACCUUGGGCCUGCGAUACGGCCCAGACUCCUACGGUAGGCAGCAGUGGGGAAUAUUGCACAAUGGGCCGAAGCCUGAUGCAGCAACGCCGCGUGCGUGAUGACGGCCUUCUGGUUGUAAACCGCUUUCGCCUGUGACGAAGCGUGAGUGACGGUAAUGGGUAAAGAAGCACCGGCUAACUACGUG